UACAGAGGGUGCAAGCGUUGUUCGGAAUUAUUGGGCGUAAAGCGCGCGUAGGCGGUUGCUUAAGUCGGAUGUGAAAGCCCUCGGCUUAACUGAGGAAGUGCAUCCGAAACUGAGCAGCUAGAGUACGAAAGAGGGUCGCGGAAUUCCCGGUGUAGAGGUGAAAUUCGUAGAUAUCGGGAGGAACACCGGUGGCGAAGGCGGCGACCUGGGUCGAGACUGACGCUGAGACGCGAAAGCGUGGGGAGCAAACAGG
rnacentral:rRNA from 1 species